GUGGUAUCCGAUUGGGUCAGGCCUGUGCGCAGGCGCUUUUGAGUGGAGCCACAUGGCCAACACAGGAUGAUAGAAGAUCUUCUGUCCUAUGCUAUUCUUACAAUGCAACAUCGACACUCCCCAAGGAAAGGUAUGAUCUAUGUCUCUAAUCCUUGAAUAUGUGACCAUGGAAGAAGUGACACUGUGUGACUUCUGAGGCUAAGUCAUAAAAGAGUGAGAGCGGAGGAGGGGCAGAGAGAGGAGACACAGAAUCU